rnacentral:rRNA from 1 species
CAUUCGAGUGGCGGACGGGUGAGUAACGCGUGGGUAACCUGCCUUACACAGGGGGAUAACACCUGGAAACAGGUGCUAAUACCGCAUAAGCGCACAGGGCCGCAUGGCCCGGUGUGAAAAACUCCGGUGGUGUAAGAUGGACCCGCGUCUGAUUAGCUUGUUGGCGGGGUAGGGGCCCACCAAGGCGACGAUCAGUAGCCGGCCUGAGAGGGUGGACGGCCACAUUGGGACUGAGACACGGCCCAAACUCCUACGGAAGGCAGCAG